GACGCAAGUGCGGGAGAGGCCGGGUUGAAAGAUCCCGGCGCCGAAGGAGCAACCGCCCCGGAAACUCUCAGGCAAAAGGACCGCACGUGCCAA
rnacentral:ncRNA from 2 species